rnacentral:rRNA from 1 species
CAAGUCGAGCGGUAACGCGGGAGCAAUCCUGGCGACGAGCGGCGGACGGGUGAGUAACGCUUGGGAAUCUGCCUGUUAGUGGGGGACAACCCGGGGAAACUCGGGCUAAUACCGCAUACGCACUACGGUGGAAAGCCGGGGACCGCAAGGCCUGGCGCUAACAGAUGAGCCCAAGUCGGAUUAGCUAGUUGGUGAGGUAACGGCUCACCAAGGCUUCGAUCCGUAACUGGUCUGAGAGGACGACCAGUCACACCGGAACUGAGACACGGUCCGGACUCCUACGGGAGGCAGCAGUGGGGAAUAUUGGACAAUGGGCGAAAGCCUGAUCCAGCGACGCCGCGUGGGUGAAGAAGGCCUGCGGGUUGUAAAGCCCUUUCAGUGGGGAAGAAAAGCCUCGUUCUAACACAACGGGGUCUUGACGUAACCCAUAGAAGAAGCACCGGCUAACUCUGUGCCAGCAGCCGCGGUAAUACAGAGGGUGCGAGCGUUAAUCGGAAUUACUGGGCGUAAAGCGCGCGUAGGCGGCUUUGCAAGUCGGGUGUGAAAUCCCCAGGCUCAACCUGGGAACUGCAUUCGAGACUGCAUUGCUAGAGUAUGGGAGAGGGAAGUGGAAUUUCCGGUGUAGCGGUGAAAUGCGUAGAUAUCGGAAGGAACAUCAGUGGCGAAAGCGACUUCCUGGACCAAUACUGACGCUCAUGUGCGAAAGCGUGGGGAGCAAACAGGAUUAGAUACCCUGGUAGUCCACGCCAUAAACGAUGAGAACUGGAUGUCGGGAGGGUCUGCCUCUCGGUGUCGUAGCUAACGCGUUAAGUUCUCCGCC